UUUUCUACUUCUGCCGGAAGUUCUAGCCAUUAAUAUAUUUUGUAACUCUCUUCGUACAAAUUAAAUACCGUUAACUACAACGGUCAUCUCUACCAACUGAACCUCACGCGCCAUCCCCAUGGGGACUGAAAUUCCCCCGGAGCAGGCGCGUUUGGGGGGGAUUACGCAAGAUCUUGACAAGACGAAACCAACUAUGGAAGAAAACUCUACUAAACCUAACUACGCCAUAGCAAUUCAAACCCCUACUACUCAAAUUCCCAAAAAAUCCUAAUUUGAAAGCUCGACAAACAACUCACAAGGAGUUCCGGCAGUACUUUUCAAAGCUAAUGAAUUCUAUGGAGAGAUGGCUGAUGAAUGCAAGUUCACUUUGGUGGCCAAAUUCAUUCGCACCCGUCCUCAAAUUGAUACAAUUAGAUCGAAGUUUGCUGAGAAAAUCAGAGUAAAAGGUCAUGGAGUAGAAAUCCAUUGGAUUGCUUGUGCUGUGAAAAUGCUCAACCAGAGACCAUUAAGCACCUCUUCAUAGAUAGUGAGCCUGCUCAAAGCCUAUGGAAAACUUAUGGUCAGCCUAUGGGGAUCAGCUACCAAAGCAGGACUAUAAGAAGUUUCCUACAAGAUUGAUGGCAAAACGAAGGAAGAAAUGAUAUGCAUAGAAUGUUGAUACAAAUCAUCCCUAUUAUGAUCCAUUAGAUUUUGGGGACAACAAGAUAUUCAUGCAGAUACGGUGCACAAACAAGAUUUUACAUAAGGACAAUGGAGCAGCAAAUACAUUGGCUUAUAAAAGCCUCUCUGCACAGAGCUUUUCCUUCACAAAAAAUGAACUUACCUUGGAUACAAUUGUGUGAAAGAGUUGAGAAAAUGAGACACAAGACAAUCAUCAAGAUUGUAACUUGGAAUUUCCUAGUUGCAACUGGAUAAAAAUCAAUACUGAUAGCAGUUACUUGAAAGAAAAUGGAAAAGCAGGCAUUGGGGGGAUAGCUAGAGACAGCAAUGGGAAUUUCUUGUUUGCCUUUGCAUCAUUAGUUACAUGUAGAGAUCACAACAUUGCAGAAGCCUUAGCUGCAAAGUAUGUUGUUGGUUGGGGCAGAGACAAUGGACAUCAACACACGAUCAUUGAGAUGGACUCCCUUCUUAUUGUAGAUAUGAUGAAGAACAAGACCACUCAAAACCUUAACUUGAAGAACAUUGUAGAGGAUACUACUGAUUUGACCAACAAUAUGAAUACCACCUUCCUUCAUUGCUUCAGAGAAGCCAAUAAGGUGGCAGAUUAUCUAGCUAAGUUAGCUACCACAUUGGGAGAGGAUACUACAUACAACAAUUAUGAUCAACUGCCUACUGAUGCAAAAAAAGCUUUUGUGCUAGAUAGAAGGCAGAUUCCUAAUGUUAGAAUCAAGUACGACAAGGCAAACUUUUUUGUGAGCUAAACUAUUAGAAAUAGAACAAGGAGAAUGUGUAACUUAUGUAUAAACAAUCUCCUUGCUGUGUUUUGUUGAGAUUGCAUUGCAAUCUGUGAUGUAUAUAUGGGGUAUUGGUCUAGUCCCCCCAUACCUUUUGUGUUCCUUACAUAAAUAAAUACAUCACUGCCAGGAUCAAACUUGGAAAAU